rnacentral:lncRNA from 1 species
UGGAAAUUAACUUAAUGUUUUAAUAUGAGAACUGAUAUUUUAUCAUGCUUCAUGCAUCAUGAAUAUGCUUUAGGGUGAGUGCAUUAGUGUACACAAAGAUGAUGCAUUGCAUUUAUCCUUGUACUUGGCAUUGCUCCUUGUACAUUGCUUAUGUGAGACGGCACGGACUUCGUGAGGAUUCAUUAGCCCUCAGAGGAAAGACCUGGAACAGCCUUACGAGGACCAGGCAUAAAGACCUGGAACAGCCCUACGGGGACCAGGCACAUGGUACU